rnacentral:ncRNA from 2 species
GAGCAAACCAAGGGGUGCAAUAAAAAGCUGUUGUUAAUAGGCUUUUGUAUUGCUGAGAAUUUUUACCCUUAAUACCUGAAACGGAUAAUGCCGGCGUAGGAAUGGUUAAUAUGUUGAAU